rnacentral:rRNA from 1 species
UGGGGAAUCUUGCACAAUGGGGGAAACCCUGAUGCAGCGACGCCGCGUGAGCGAUGAAGCCCUUCGGGGUGUAAAGCUCUUUCGGCAGGGAAGAUUAUGACGGUACCUGCAGAAGCAGCUGCGGCUAACUACGUGCCAGCAGCCGCGGUAAUACGUAGGCAGCAAGCGUUGUUCGGAGUUACUGGGCGUAAAGGGUGUGUAGGCGGCUUUUUAAGUUUGGUGUGAAAUCUCCCGGCUCAACCGGGAGGGUGCGCCGAAUACUGAGAGGCUAGAGUGCGGGAGAGGAAAGUGGAAUUCCUGGUGUAGCGGUGAAAUGCGUAGAUAUCAGGAGGAACACCGGUGGUGUAGACGGCUUUCUGGACCGUAACUGACGCUGAGACACGAAAGCGUGGGUAGCAAACAGGAUUAGAUACCCUGGUAGUCCACGCCCUAAACGAUGCAUAUUUGGUGUAGGUCAUUCAGUUGAUCUGUGCCGGAGCUAACGCGUUAAAUAUGCCGCCUGGGGAGUACAGUCGCAAGGCUG